GAUGAACGCUAGCUACAGGCUUAACACAUGCAAGUCGAAGGACCGGCGCACGGGUGAAUAACACGUAUCCAACCUGCCCUUUACUCGGGGAUAGCCUUUCGAAAGAAAGAAUAAUACCCGAUAUAAAGGAUGGGGAUGCGUUGCAUUAGGUUGUGGGUGAGGUAACGGCUCACGAAGCCUUCGAUGGAUAGGGGUUUGGAGAGUAAGGUACCUGACAUUGGAACUGGGCCCCGGGCCAAACUGCUAGGGGAGGCAGAAGUUAGGAAGAUUGGUAAAUGGGCGCUAGCCUGAAACAGCCAAGUAGCGUGAAGGAUGAAUGCUUAUGGGGCGUAAUCUUCCUUUACAUAAGAAUAUGUAUUAGAUGAAAAAGGAUCGGCUAACUCCGUGCCAGCAGCCGCGGUAAUAC
rnacentral:rRNA from 1 species